GCUGCUUGCUUCGCCCGCUUGGCCUGGCAGUUCCCGGCGCGGCUCUAAUGUCUUGCUGGCGCGACUGGUUUUGAUCCUGUCCGUCUGCCCUCCUUUUUGGGGCAAGGAAAAGUUCGUGGGGGUCGCUCGCUCGCCUUGGGAGAAUGAAUAUAAAGCCAACUGAUUAAAAAAAAAAAAACUGGAAAUUUACAGUUCCACCCUCAAAGUAUCUCAAAAAUACAUGAUCUGUUGCCUUAUCAACAGAACCUACAAUAUAGGUUCGUGUAACAAAUGCGCAGUAAGCCAAACACCGACAUAUUCAGUGCUUAGGAGCGGGGGAAGGUUUAUUCCGUUUGGCCAAAGCGAGAGAGCGGGAGAAGAAGUCUCUCAAAUACUGACAUGCCUUAGAACGUAACUGGGGGGCCUUUAUGAGUAAGGUAAGAAUACAGAGGGUGGGAUCCCCCAUGAUCAAAGCUGUUUCCUCCCUGGGACUCUAGGUCUCAUCUGCCCCAUUAGAUGAUGCCCCAUCUGGACCAUCAAGGAGGUCUGCGUGACCUAAGGGUCAUGGUUGUUUUGUUUGUGAUAGGGUCUCGCGUUGUCGCCCAGGCUGGAGUGCAGUGGUGGGAUCACCACUCACUGCAGCCUCGACCUCCCAGGCUCAAGCGAUCCUCUCACCUCAGCCUCCCAAGUAGCUGGGACCGCAGGCAUGCACACAUGCCCGGGUGAUUUUUGUUCAUUUUUUAUA
rnacentral:lncRNA from 1 species